GAAAUAUGUUACCAAGAUUAAGCUUCUAACUUAAAUCUUAAGCGAUAAAAUUCGUUUAUAUUUCU
rnacentral:tRNA from 1 species